rnacentral:tRNA from 1 species
GAGGGUCUGGCUCAGUGGUAGAGCAUAUGCUUAGCAUGCAUGAGGUCCUGGGUUCAAUCCCCAGUACCUCCA